rnacentral:rRNA from 1 species
UGGGGAAUAUUGGACAAUGGGGGCAACCCUGAUCCAGCAAUGCCGCGUGUGUGAAGAAGGUCUUCGGAUUGUAAAGCACUUUCGACGGGGACGAUGAUGACGGUACCCGUAGAAGAAGCCCCGGCUAACUUCGUGCCAGCAGCCGCGGUAAUACGAAGGGGGCUAGCGUUGCUCGGAAUGACUGGGCGUAAAGGGCGUGUAGGCGGUUUACACANUCAGAUGUGAAAUCCCCGGGCUUAACCUG